GAGCACGCUGACAAUGAACAAACAGACCAAAAUCGGUAAUGCUUUGUCUCCGUCGGUAAACCACCAGUCUCUUACACAAUGUCACAAAUUCAUUAAGCACAAUGUGUCCACUCCAACAUUACUGCUGCAGCGUGGUGGCAGGUUCAGAGUGUUGAAAUAAGCUGCUGAUGCAGCAGUAGAUUGAAUAUGGAAAAGCAAAGCCGGCAGCGAUGCGCCAUUCGACAACUCUGUUGUUGCGGUGUGGGAGUGCGUAAGAGCAAUUGCGUUGUGGGAGUGCGUAAGAGCAAUUGCGUUGUUAUUUGAUUUGGUGAAUGCGACAGUGGUUCGUAGUCAAGCAAACAAGUUAGAGUCAAGGCUGGAGUUGGUGUAUGGCUUUAGGCAAGGUGCAGGAAUUGCGAUGAAGUAAUUUGUGAUUGAGGUUUGGUUUCGGGGAAAGGAUUGGCUAAGGAGGUGACGUUCUAUGCAAUGAAGAAAGAAGUAAAAACUGGAAUUUAUUCUACUUGAAAAGAGUGCAAAGACGUGGUCAGUGGAUGCUUAGGAUGGAUGGCUCUACGUUUGAUUUGAUAACAAUGCUAUUUGUGGUGAGAAGAAAAGAUGGUGUUCUGGGACUGAACACACUUGUUUUUUUGCAAAAGUCGGUACAACCAAACUACCUUUGAUGUUCCUGUGGAGAGGCUCAUGUAAGAUUCUACAGAAGAUUUAGCUACAGUUUUUUUUAUCGUUUAGAUUGCCUGGUGAUGGUAGCUCCCGUCAUUAUAAAACAAUACCGUUCUGUUGAUCUCUGAGUUUUAGGACAAGCUGCCCAGCUGGCAUCGGUGAAGCCUCUGUUGUUAUAAUAUUGGCCUGAUGCGUAGAGGAGUCCAAAAUCAUCUAUUUUGUUGACAUAUUUGAGAAUGUGGUGGACGACUUUAAGGUUAAGAUGUGGUUUGGCCAUAAAUCAAGACACAAAGCUUAUAGCAAAGGCUAGAUCGAGGCAAGUUGUAGUUAAGAAAAUGAGUUUUCUAAUCUUCCUACAAUAAUGAUAUAUGUCAACUGGAAUUGAGUUCAGUGUAAGAUUAAUACUAGACCGGCUGAUAGGAGAACGUUUUUAGUCUUGGAGUUUCCUAUUCUGAAUUCCUUUAGUGUGUCAAGGGCAUAUCAGUACUGAGUGAGAAAAAGUCCUUGGUUUGUUUUUAUAAAUUCUACUCCUAAGUACUUUGUGACGGGUCUUAAAUCAGUCAGGUCAAGUUCUUGUUUGAGUUGCUGUUUGAGCCAGUGGAUUUUUUCUUCGUUCCCUCAUGUCAGAAAGAAGUCAUCAACGUAAACAAGAAAAUUUACGCAUCCUUCUCUGUUUCAUGUGUAGUAAAGAUUGUGAUCACUUUUGCUCCUUGUCAUUUCGAGGGACCUGAGAUAUGCAUCAAUACGUUUGUGCCACAUUUGUGAGCUCUGCCCCAAGCCGUAGAGGAAUUUGUUGAGUUUACAGACUAGGUGCUCCUUACCAGUUUGUGCGUAACCUUGGGGUUGUUUCAUAUAUACUUCCUUGAAAUUGUCAUAUAAGAAUGUUGUUUCAAUGUUAAGGUGAUGAAUUUGAUGUCCUUUGUGUGCUACUUUUGCAGCUAGAGAUUGGAUAGUGGACCACUUAACUACUGGGGCAAAAACUUCUUCAAAGUCAAUGCCAAACUUUUAUUCGUAAUCUCUAGCUACGAGACGAGCUUUGUGGUGUGGAUGAUGUCAGUUUAAUCCUGGUUUCACUUUAAACACCUACCAUGCGCUGAUGGUUUUUUUCCAAGAGAUUGAAUCUGGUUAAUUGGUAUUCUCCUCCACUGUCUGUCCUGAGACAUGAUAUCUUGCGACCUGUCUCCUUUUCAACCAUAGAAGAUCUUGAAGGUGUCAAAUGUUUCAGAUCUUUGGUUGAAAAAAUAAAUCCAAGAGCGUUGGCUGAAGUCAUCUAUGAAGGUUAGUAUAUGGUAUGAAACGGAAAGUGAGCAUAGAAGUGGUCCGCAGAGGUCGGAAUAAAUUAACUGAAGUGGUCUGGAGGUGGGAGUAAAGCUUACUCUAGGAAUAAGGUAUCAAUGGUGUUUGCCAAAAAUGUAUGCUUCACAGUUGGAUUGUAAUAAGAGGAGGUUAAGUAUUCCCGUUA